GCUGAUUUCUAAGCAUCACUCCUUGUGAGGACCAAGAAGGAAUAUUUUUGCUACUCUCACCCUGACUAAAGUGGUUCUCAAGUAAGUCUGGGGUCCAAAGCAUUGAGGAGACCCCGGGGAGAGUUGUCAGAGGGUCUCAGAGGAACCUAGCUCAGGAGGAGAGGCCGAGGCAAUCAAGAUGGUUUAUCUCUACAAAGAGAAGGCUGAGGGGAUACCUAGUGUCUUCCUUUAAAUAUCUGAAAUUGUUCUUGAGAGCGGCUGGUGAAGAUUCCACUUAAAACCUCGGGAUCAAGGACUUCUCUCAAGCAUGAGGAAGUGCUCCCUUCUCCAGAGGGAUGCAAAUGCUGGCGUGGAGUCUGCAGGGGGCCUGGCUGCUUCUGGGACAUGGGACUGGAGAGACUCCCUGCCCCUCUUCCACACUGCCACACUCUGCGUUAGAGGCUGCUGCCAUUUGGAACGGCUGAUGAUGAAGGGAUCUCACCCCAGGAUUUUCUCACAUCAGGGAUGCAGCAGCAGGAAUGGGACUGAGGGAGACAUAGAGCUCCCUAAUGCUGAAUCUCUUCCCUGUGCUGAAGAAAACUCCAGACCUCCCAGCCACUGGAACUAAAAUUGGCAUCCAGAGGUCCGGCCUUCAGAUGAAACGAUCUUCAAGCAAGCAGACACAGCUUGCGCUCCCUCAGGACUGACCAGAGGCUGUGCUUUGGGGAACUCGGACCACUGCGAAAAAUCUGAGAAGUGAUGAUCGUUCCAGGACUGAUCUGACCACCCGGGGCGUCCAGCAUGAUUGGUCGGGGUCCUGCCCGCACCCUCUCACCCCUCCACGCAGAGGCACGGUGGGAGAGGCCCCUGCCCACCCCGGAUGAGCCUGAGACUCCAGCCUGAAAUGAAGUUGCUGAAAUGAGCCCUUUCCCCAGCCGUUCAGCAGCCUAGCUGUUUUACCACUGAAAUAAAGUGUCCAAUUUAUCCUGCCAUUUUGAGGAAGCUGUUUUCAGCUGAGACUCCAGCUGGAUUUAUUUUUAAAAAAGAUUAUUCUGCAGACCAUGGCCAGAACGUGCUGAGAGGCACCCUGGGCAGUUUUCCCUCUGGCCGGCUCUUAUCCGUCCUCCCCAGCAUGGGGAGAUGAGGCUGCCUCAGGCGGCCCAGGCCAGGCAGCUGCCAGGGAGGCUGAGCAGGUCUGGGAUGUGCCAGGCAGCUCUAUGCCCAGCUCAGCUGGGAACCUGACCCGGAAAGGGCUGGAACCCAAGCCUCACCCUCUCCUGCUCUAUUCACUGUGGUCAAGGGAGGAAAGAGACCUGGCGGCUGGGCUUGCAGACAGGCUUCUUGCCCCCAUUCCUCUUCUCAGUUCUCGUGUAUGCCUGGUGGGGUGUUGACAGGCCCCACUGUGGCUGUGCUGUUUGGCAGACUGCCCUGAGUCUCCCCAGUGCCCAUCUCCCUGUAGUCCACGCUGCCCUGGCCUUCCUUGGCCUCCUGAUGGCCCCUGAGUUUACUGGAGUCAAAGGGCCAACCUGCGGACUCAGCACCCUUUCUGCUCCAGGUCUGAGGUUUCUGCUGUGAGUGGUGGCACGCGUCACACCAGUUCUUAAAUAUCUUGAAUAUGACCCUGCUGGGAGCUGCCCUUGUUCUAAGACUGGGGAUGGGGGCAGAGGAGGCAGGAAGGGGAUGGAGCUGCUUGUGGUGGAGAAUGGAGUCCCCGACCUUCUCUCGAGGCCAGCAUCAGCAGACUUCUCCUGGAAAGGGUCAGAGAGCAAAUAUUUCAGACUUUGUGGGCCAUAUGGUAUCUCUCACAACUACUAAAUGCAGGCAUUGUAGCAAACCUUCCAUAGACAGUCGCUAAAAGCGUGGGCUUGGCUCUGUUCAUUGUGGCCUUGUGUUCCCAUAACACUUUCUUUACAGACGCGGGUGGUAGGCUGGAUUUGGUCCCAGGUUCCUGCCCACACCAGCCCCAACAUGGUGCAUGCUGCAGGAAGGCCAAGGAGGGGGCCCUCCCAGUGUGACAAGUGCACAGGCUGUGAGGAGCAUGAGGAUGGCUGAUGCCGCUCUCUGGGAGUGGGAGAAACCUGCUUUUCUGCAUCCUAGCUUGUGACUUGUCACGUGCCCAUAAUGGGACACUCUGCCUGCCUCUCGCCAUGGCCCCCCGCUGGCCACCUCCUUAGAGUUCACAGUCCAGAAAUACGAGGAGCCCGUGGUGGGAGGGGUCCUCACUGCCUCUUUCUCCUGCUUUGUCUGCUUCCCACCCAUGAAACCCUCUCCCUAUUCACACCCAUUGACUGGCUUCUUUAAAUUAGAGGAAAUUUAAUUCCAUACAACAUGCAUGUAUCAGAUAUCUACCUUGUGUUAUGCAGUGAGCUGUGCAUUGGGGGUACAGCCAGGAAACAAAACUGUAGUAACAGCAGCAAGGUCAAGACAGUAGUGAAGUCACUGCUGAAGGCACAGCACUGGCUGGGGAGCUGGGGCCAAGCAGGUGGGCCUGGUUGCUAGAGGGUGGGUCUAGCCCCUUCCUGCUGAUCUUCCAGCAAACUGGGCUUCCGCUCCAUUCAGAGCAAAAUAAGGCAUCCGCACGUGGCUCAGUGUGGCCCUGGCCCCCGCUGGGGCACCCUCUGUGCUGUCCCUUACCCCGCAGAGGUGUGUCUGGUGGAGCUUUUCCACUUUCAAUGGCUUUCACACACCGUGGUGCUCUUGGGCCUGUUACUGGCCCAGCCAUGUCACCUACCAGCAAUGCAGCCUUGGAAAUGCGAAGUCAGCUCUCUAAGUCUUGGUUUCUUCACCUGCAGGUGGGGAUCAUCGUUCCUGUUUUGUAGCGUUGCUCUAGGAUGAAAUGAAGUCAUGAGUGUGGAGCUCUUAUGUGGUAUGGAGCUUUCCUGCCACGUGGCAAUCACUCAAUCUGGGGAAAUGGCCAUUGCUGUAGGCUGAACGUUGGUGUCCCCCCAAAUUCCUAUGUUAAAACUAAUGCCCAAAGUGGUGGUCUUAGAAGGUGGGGCCUUUCGGAAUGAUGAGGCAUGAGGCACAGCCCUCAUGGGUGGGAUGAGUGUCCUUAUGAAAGAGGCCUGAGAGAGCCCUCGUGCCCUUUCUACCACCUGAGGACACAGCGAGAAGACGGCUGCUUGUGAAUCGGGACGUGGGCCUGCACCAGACACUGAAUAUACCAGUGCCUUGAUCUCGGACUCCCCAGCCUCC
rnacentral:lncRNA from 1 species